CUGCUGCCUUCCGUAGGAGUUUGGACCGUGUCUCAGUUCCAAUGUGGGGACCUUCCUCUCAGAACCCCUACGCAUCGUCGGCUUGGUGGGCCGUUGCCCCACCAACUACCUAAUGCGCCGCAUGCCCAUCCGUGACCGGGGUCGCCCCCUUUGGCCGGCAGGGGAUGUCCCCUCCCGGCAUUAUGUUGUAUUAGGCGGGAUUUCUCCCGGUUAUCCAUCUGUCACGGCCAGGUUGCAUACGUGUUACUCACCCGUGCGCCGGUCGCCGGCGG
rnacentral:rRNA from 1 species